GAAGGCAAGCCGACGCUGCCCUUGCUGGUGGCCAUGACGCGAGGGACGCCGGCGCAAAGGGACGUCGUGCGUGCG
rnacentral:tRNA from 1 species